rnacentral:lncRNA from 1 species
GGUAUCUCGGGGUAGUAUAAGGAGGAUGGGAGAGGGGAAGAAAAUGCUAGACUGUGAGAGUUGUGAGCCAAGAUAAGCUUGGUGCUACCUCUUUUCUUUUGUUUGUUAUUUUCUUUGAAUAAGAAGAUUGAAAGUUUCUGAACAUUGUGAAGUGAAUUAUGGAAUGGAAAUGUGAUUGGUAUUUUUUGAGAAGAAGAUAGAUUGAAUGCUGAAAUCUGAUUGUAGUUCAACAGAGAGAAUGAGUCUGUGUUUGUGUGAAAUACUAUAAUGUGAAUGGCAGUUCUGUGUGAAGAAUUCCAGUGAUUGGAACGAGGAAAAUUGUGUGCUAAAAGUUGUGAGGGCGUAGUAUUACAGUUGGAGAUUAUGAGGGUGAAUAUAUUGGUAGAAAUAGCAGUUAUUGAUAUGACUGAAUUGAUGUAAAGAAGAGACCGAUAAGGUGAAGGAGGAGAUUAUAGUUUCUUUGUGUGUUCAGAUUUUGGAAAUAGAGACGAUACAUUCAGGAGGUAAUUGAUUGUAUGACCCUAAUAUGAACGCUUAAGCAACUAGUCAUUCCUUGUGUUCAAAUCCUCCUAUACGGAUUAAUGCUGGGAGGUUUCUUUCGGAAUAAGUAAAACGAGCAAUCACAUUUUGGCGCCACUACUGGGGAGUGAUAAUAGCUUUGAGUGUUAGGAAUUAAUUAUCAAACAUGUGAGAAAAUUGGCAAUGGAAGACGAUUUCAAUAGUGUUUGAAGAAAGAGUAUGAUUAUUAAGAAUGAGAAUUUAACAGCAAAGAGAAUAAAGCAAUCAAAGGAAAGAACAGAGAGAUCGCAAGCAAGAAAUUUGGUACGUAAUGAGCGAGAUCACAAAUUGAAAAAGAAGCAUUGACAAAGUUGGAUUAAGCCGUGGUUGCAUGCCUGUCAGCAUAUUUAAUCGUACCCAGAAGACGAUUGACCUCUAAUAUUUCAGAAGUACAUACCAUUAAAAAAAUUACCAAGAGCACUUGUGGAGAGCGUUGCUAAUAGUCCAGCAAACCUCUCAAAGCCGUUAACGGAAAAUAAGAAAGGUACACAGGAAUUAGGUAUUCCACUAGGUAUCUUUUUAAUUAAAAAUGUGUCCGAUCCUAACAAGACUGGUUCUGAAGAUUGGCAUAAAUCACUUGCCAAUAAAGACCAAUUCAGAGUAUAUCAAAAACUGUCAUUUUCACCUCAUAUUCAACCAAUAAAAUUAUUUGGAAAUAAUAAUAGUCAAUCGGGAAGGCCUGGAAGUCCAAAAAAGACUUUUGCAAGAGAUAGUUUUUAUUUUAAUAAGAAAUUGAGCAGAACAUUGGCAUCUUCAAUGACGUUCGGAGGACCAACAGUUCCGAUUGCAGUUCAAAUGGGUGCAGUGGGUGAUCGAACAACUAGCGUCACACCAUUACUUACUUUUCAGGGUUUGCCAGGUGUAGAUCCAGAUCAACAUUUGUCUCAAUUUUUGACAGCGUGUAUAGUCAAUAAUGGAAGAACAGAAGACAUUUGGCUGAGAUGGCUGCUAGCAACAUUGAAAGAUACAACGUUUGAGUGGUAUAACCGCCAACCUGUGUGACAAUUUAUCAAUUGGGAGGCAUUGAAAAAUACAUUUUUAGCCCAUUUUCGACCAAUUGGUUUUGAAGAACGUCUUAGAGAAAAAUUAAUGAAUAGCAGAAUGGUACCAGGGAAAGCGGUACAGUCAUAUUAUGGUCGUGUACAGGAUACACUUCGAAAAUGGCCAAAUAACCAAAUCCCAAAAUCAUUUGUAUUGCCCAUAUUGGUUAAUGGAGUACACCCAUCAGAAUUGAAAAUGUUUGUAAAAGAGGUCCAAUCAGCCACCAUUGCAUCAUCUCUUGAACGAGCCAAAGUAUGGAAGGAAUGUCACUAUGACCAGAACUUAACAGUUGGAGCCAUGAUGAUUCCAUCUCAAGGAGGUUAUCAAAUGACAAAUUGGAAUGACGCAUCGAGAAGUUAUCUGGGAAGGAAUGUAUGGUACAAUUCCACAAGGAAUAGUGGAUGUUGUUCCAUUGCAAGUUAUACCACCACCAUCAUCACACCCGUAUGCACUUUAUUCCGCAUAUCAGAAAUCAAUACCUACAAAGAAAUUGCCAAAUGCAUUGGUAUCAAGAAAUCCUAAUGAGUCAUUGCUGUUCACAUCGACGAAAAGAAAUGGAUGAAUUGGCUAUGAAUCUGGCCAAGGAUAAAGAAAAAAGGCAUAAACCAACCAAUAUGCGUCCCAAUGUCUAGUGCAGCAAUUGUAAGGAGCAAUGUCAUUUAGUAACAGAAUGUCCUUCACUACCUCAAAUAACUAUACAAUAUACCUUUUGUGGAGGCAAGCAUAUUAGCACCAACUGUUGGAAUUUACGGAAGCAACAACAACUCAGUAAUCAGAUAAUGACUCAAUCAACUUCGUGGAAUGUCAAUCAAGUACAGACGAAUAAUAGGUUUGGCUGGAAUGGAAAUCAAGCGAAUAAACAAAACACGAAUUAUUCUAAUUUCCUCAACUCUAAAUUUCACCAAGAAGGUGUAUCCAAUACUCACGGAUUAGCGAUGAAUCAACCAAGAUACCAUCAAUAUCCACCCAUGACGAAGCCAAUGCCAGACUCUACAGUAAUAAUAGGUCAACCGUGAUCUUUUACUCAUCCGACAUGGAACAGACCUAGCCAUUAUAUAUCCGUAGAGACACCCAAUAUCCCUGAAGGAGUUGGCAAGAAACCACUUCGUUACUAUCGUUGCAGACAAAUUGGUCAUUAUGCCAAUGAAUGUCCUAAUCCAAGGGCCACUGAUGACUAUGCUCCAAUAUGUAGAAAUUAUAAGCAGUUUGGUCACACUUAUCAGCAGUGCAAUGUGCCCUUUAAUUAUAAUAAUCGGGACCAACAAAUGCAAACAAGUCAAUUGGCGGAGGACAAAGGCCCUGUUCAAUGAGACUCACCAAUACAUCGUAUCGAGGUGGUGAAUGCAAUGCUUACCAAAGGCCAACAAAAAGACAAGAAUCUAAUUUAGAACAUGGAUGAAUCAAUCGCAGGAGAGCAAGUAGCGCUGUCCAUGGGGCUAAAUGAACCAAUAUCAAUAUUGGGACAUAUCCCAAUAUUGAAACCUCAACAGAAUGAGGAAUCGAAUUCAGUUCUACAUGCCAAUUUACUGGGACCAUCAAGAUCGAUCCCAAUUGACCAAGUACCAAUACCUGUACAGUCUAAUAAAAGAUCUUACGCAUUAAAAGAACCUUUAGUGAUAAAUAAGUUGGCAAAGUUACCAACGGUAAUCCCAAUCACCAAGAAAGAAUUACUGCCGAACGGAGUAAAAUCGAAAUCAAUGAAACGCAAAAGAGCAUUGGGAAUUACUCUCAAUAUGGAACCCUACAACAUUCUGAGGGAUUUGGAUGUUAUUCAGCCUUCAAUUAAAAUGAAGCAACUUUUGGCUCUAGCAUCGGAAUGUCGAUCUACAUUGAAUUCAACGUUAAUAUGAUGAAGAUCCUGCACUAAAGAAAUUCAUGAAGUUAGCUUAAACCCAAAUCUAGGAGCACCAAUAAUCGAUGUAUCAAUCGAUGGCGUUUUAAUUCCAAGGGUACAAGUCGAUGGUGGCUCCAGUGUGAAUUUAAUAAACGUAGAUACAAUGGAGGACUUGGAUCUAAAGCAAUUGUUACCUACGACAUUGGUCUUGCGAAUGGCAAAUCAUAGUCGGGUAAAGCCAAUGAAAAUCUUACGUAAUAUUGCCACUGUAAUCACGAGAUUGACAUAUAAAAUUGAUUGUAUUAUAUUUUAAUUACAGAGUUCUACGUUAUCAUAUCCCAUUUUAUUGGGCAGACCUUGGCUUUAUCAAGCCAAAGCUAAGAACGAUUGGGGCCGAGGCACAUUGACAAUUGAAAAAGGCCGGGAUGAGAUUAUUCUAUAGAUGUACUCGAUACAAUAUCAUGGAGAGUCUCAAUUGCCAACAUCUAAAUUAACGUCAAACGAUGAGCUUAGCUCCAAUGACGAUGCAGUAGCACCAAUUACGGAGGUGCCUGUAGAGGCAACACUACACCCUGGAGUGGUAUACCAAUGUGGAGAUCCGGGAGAGUACUUGAUAUACCUGACGGACUCGGAAAACUCAGAUUAUGUUAGUACUGAUUGGAUGACCAAGUAUGAUGUGUUCCAUGUUAGUGCCCUGGACAUAAGAUUCAGUACUUCGUACAUGUCGAACUUAUCGACUGACUUUAAAUCAGCGUAGGCAUUGAAACAGAACAUCGCCGUUGUACCUUUAUGUCAAACUAUCAACUUGGCGACCACAGCAGAACCUCAGACAAUUAAGGUCUACAAAGAUAUUAAGGAACAAGAGUUGACUUGCUGAACCAAAUUUUUUUUGCAUCAUAAAUCUGCUUUUGCUUGGACUUAUGAUGAUUUAAAAUAUAUUCCCGCUGAAGUUUGUGAGCAUUGUAUCAUUUUAGAGGAGAACGCUAAACCGGUAUGGUAGAGACAAUACCGGCUUAAUCCUAAAUAUUCCUUCAUGGUAAAGGAGAAAUUGGACAAACUUCUUGCAGUUGGUUUUAUUUACCCAGUACCAAAUAGUGAGUGGAUUUCUUCAAUCGUGAUGGUGUCGAAAAAGAAUGGAAAAAUCCGAAUUUGUCAAGAUUUCCAAAAACUUAAUGCGGCCACCAAGAAAGAUUACUUCUCAUUACCUUUCACGGACAGUAUGGGUAACAUAUUGGUAUUAUCACCACUAGGUAAAAGAAUAGGAGUGGGGCACCAGUUAAAGUCAUUCUAUGGUGUUGUUUUGGAUUGGCUGGAGUGCCAUUUUCUUAUAUUUCUUGUGUUUUUGAGAGUAGUAGUUCUAGUUAAGAGUUAACAAUGAGGAGCCAGUCACAAGAAAGAGAAUGCAUGGUGGAGACCCACAGACAAGAACUAUUUUGGGCUCGUAGUCAUUCAAUUUUAGAACUGGAAAAAGCGAAGGGUCAGUUGGUAAUGGAACGAGAAAUGGCCAAGUUAUUGGCGCAAGAGAAAUUGGUAUUGAGUGACCAAUACAGAUGUGAAACAAAGUGGUUAAGUUCUGAAAUUGAAGCCUAGAAUGCCGAGGUGACAAGAUUGGCAGAAGAUUUAUUCAAUAUCGGUCAAGCACAAGUAUUGACGUUGCCAGUUUCCGAAGUUCCAAAAGAGAAGAGUCACUUUCAGCGCCAGUUGGAAUUGAGAGAUGCCUAGAUCCUAAAAUUGAAAGCUCAAGUCCGUGAACUGGGUGAGUACAAUGAAGACCUUUCAGCUCAGUUGAGGCAAGAGCCAAUGGAAGGAUUGGAGAAGGACAAAGAUUUGCAGUUGGAACUGGAAUCGGUGGAACCAAUAACAGAUACUGUGGCAAUUGAUUAAUUAGAUAGGCCAGAGGGAUCGCAAUUUUUGUAGAGUUUUGUUAGAUAAUUUUUAGAUAGGUAUCAAUUGAGUGUUUGUAAGGACGCUGAACAAUUAGGAGUGGGGCUAUGUAGAAUAAGUAGUUAUUUUUAGAAUGUAGAUACCUAGUGUAUAGUGUAAAGAGGAAUAGAUAACUGCUCAAAAGGUGGUUCAAUAGGUAGAAUGGAUGAAUAGUCAGAAAAAGUAGUUAUCAUGUGUAGUAUAAGAGUUGGUAUCUCGGGGUAGUAUAAGGAGGAUGGGAGAGGGGAAGAAAAUGCUAGACUGUGAGAGUUGUGAGCCAAGAUAAGCUUGGUGCUACCUCUUUUCUUUUGUUUGUUAUUUUCUUUGAAUAAGAAGAUUGAAAGUUUCUGAACAUUGUGAAGUGAAUUAUGGAAUGGAAAUGUGAUUGGUAUUUUUUGAGAAGAAGAAAGAUUGAAUGCUGAAAUCUGAUUGUAGUUCAGCAGAGAGAAUAAAUCUGUGUUUGUGUGAAAUACUAUAAUGUGAAUGGCAGUUCUGUGUGAAGAAUUCUAGUGAUUGGAACGAGGAUAAUUGUGUGCUAAAAGUUGUGAGGGCGUAGUAUUACAGUUGGAGAUUAUGAGGGUGAAUAUAUUGGUAGAAAUAGCAAUUAUUGAUAUGACUGAAUUGUUGUAAGGAAGAGACCGAUAAGGUGAAGGAGGAGAUUAUAGUUUCUUUGUGUGUUCAGAUAUUGGAAAUAGAGAUGAUACAUUCAGGAGGUAAUUGAUUGUAUGACCCUAACGUGAACACUUAAGCAACUAAUCAUUUCCUGUGUUCAAAUCUCCCUAUACGGGUUUAUGCUGAGAGGUUUCUUUCGAAAUAAGUAAAACAAGCAAUCACAGGAUCAUAUGGUUGCAAUAUUGGAAUAGUAAUGAGUGCUUCCUUCA